CCUACGGGGGGCAGCAGUGGGGAAUAUUGCACAAUGGGGGAAACCCUGAUGCAGCGACGCCGCGUGAGUGAAGCAGUAUUUCGGUACGUAACGCUCUAUCAGCAGGGAAGAAAAUGACGGUACCUGACUAAGAAGCCCCGGCUAACUACGUGCCAGCAGCCGCGGUAAUACGUAGGGGGCAAGCGUUAUCCGGAUUUACUGGGUGUAAAGGGAGCGUAGACGGCAGCGCAAGUCUGGAGUGAAAUCCCAUGGCUUAACCAUGGAACUGCUUUGGAAACUGUGCAGCUAGAGUGCAGGAGUGGUAAGCGGAAUUCCUAGUGUAGCGGUGAAAUGCGUAGAUAUUAGGAGGAACACCAGUGGCGAAGGCGGCUUACUGGACUGUAACUGACGUUGAGGCUCGAAAGCGUGGGGAGCAAACAGGAUUAGAUACCCUUGUAGUC
rnacentral:rRNA from 1 species